CAUAAAGGCAGCUUCUCUGGCUUGUAAAAAGAAAGCAGAUGCUAGAAGAUUUAAUGUGAGUUUGGACAGGAUGAAUUUCAGCUGUGAAAUAUGCUGUAGGCUGACCUCAAGAGAUUUGAAAGUAUAUAUGGAUGGCAGUUAACCAAAAGCUCAAGUACACAUAUAUUGGCACACAGCUUCACUGGAUCAGACGUCAGCCGGAAUUUUCUGACAUGUACAGACUCAUUGUGCCUGGACUAAAAAUACAACACAAAUAACGUUUCUGGCAGUACGUUAGUUCUUGAAGAUAAAAGUAAAGGCAAAGGCAGGAUUUCAAAAGCACAGACCAUUGUAUAUUAGCUUUCAAUACUGGGUUCCUUCUAUGGGGGACACAUAAACAGCUUUAAAGACCAUUUGACUUGUUUCCUGAUCACAGACGAAAAGUUAUUUCUUCUUGCAUGCUGUGUGUGAGAAGCCAUGAAGGACAAAUUGCUUCACCAACAGGAAUGUCACUAGGUCUUCACGUGUCAUCUGGCAGUAUGACUUGAUGUAAUAACCAUCCAGCUGUCCCAUCAGGCACAAAGACAGUGUGGAACCUCACCCUGCUUUUGCUGAAUUCCUCCCACAUGACACUGGCCUGAAAGGCCUGUUUAGGCUUAGAUCUCCCCCCUGUGGCAAUCAAACCCAAGUCAAUAAUUUCAAAGCAUUUUCCA